rnacentral:rRNA from 1 species
CGUGUAGGCGGCUGAGCAAGUCAGAUGUGAAAUCCCUGGGCUUAACCCAGGAAGUGCAUUUGAAACUGCUUAGCUUGAGUAAGGAAGAGGGAAGUGGAAUUCCUGGUGUAGAGGUGAAAUUCGUAGAUAUCAGGAGGAGCACCGGUGGCGAAGGCGACUUCCUGGUCCUAUACUGACGCUGAGACGCGAGAGCGUGGGGAGCAAACAG